rnacentral:rRNA from 1 species
GAUGAACGCUAGCUACAGGCUUAACACAUGCAAGUCGAGGGACCGGCGCACGGGUGAGUAACACGUAUCCAACCUGCCCUUUACUCGGGGAUAGCCUUUCGAAAGAACGAUUAAUACACGAUGUAAAGGAUGGGGAUGCUUUCCAUUAGGUGGUUGGUGAGGUAACGGCUCUCCAAGCCUUAGAUGGAUAGGGGUUCUGAGAGGAAUGUCCCCCACAUUUGAACUGAGACUCGGUCCAAACUCAUACGGGAGGUAGCAGUGUGGAAUAUUGGUCAAUGGGCGUUAUCCUGAACCAGCCAAUUAGCGUGAAGGUUGAAGGCUUAUGGGUCGUAAACUUCUUUUAUGUAAGAAUAUGUAUUAUAUGAAUAAGGAUCGGCUAACUCCGUGCCAGCAGCCGCGGUAAUAC